AAACUCAAAGGAAUUGACGGGGGCCCGCACAAGCGGUGGAGUAUGUGGUUUAAUUCGAUGCAACGCGAAAAACCUUACCUACCCUUGACAUGUCUGGAAUUCCGAAGAGAUUUGGAAGUGCUCGCAAGAGAACCGGAACACAGGUGCUGCAUGGCUGUCGUCAGCUCGUGUCGUGAGAUGUUGGGUUAAGUCCCGCAACGAGCGCAACCCUUGUCAUUAGUUGCUACGAAAGGGCACUCUAAUGAGACUGCCGGUGACAAACCGGAGGAAGGUGGGGAUGACGUCAAGUCCUCAUGGCCCUUAUGGGUAGGGCUUCACACGUCAUACAAUGGUCGGGACAGAGGGUCGCCAACCCGCGAGGGGGAGCCAAUCCCAGAAACCCGAUCGUAGUCCGGAUCGCAGUCUGCAACUCGACUGCGUGAAGUCGGAAUCGCUAGUAAUCGCGGAUCAGCAUGUCGCGGUGAAUACGUUUCCGGGUCUUGUACACACCGCCCGUCACACCAUGGGAGUGGGUUUUACCAGAAGUAGUUAGCCU
rnacentral:rRNA from 1 species